CUUGAUGGAGCCGAGCCACAGCGGCUCGGCCCGGUCGGCGCCGUAGGUCGCCAGCAGCGCCCGCGCCUC
rnacentral:antisense_RNA from 1 species